rnacentral:rRNA from 1 species
AUUGAACGCUGGCGGCAGGCCUAACACAUGCAAGUCGAGCGGAUGGGUGGAGCUUGCUCCAUGAUUCAGCGGCGGACGGGUGAGUAAUGCCUAGGAAUCUGCCUGGUAGUGGGGGACAACGUUUCGAAAGGAACGCUAAUACCGCAUACGUCCUACGGGAGAAAGUGGGGGAUCUUCGGACCUCACGCUAUCAGAUGAGCCUAGGUCGGAUUAGCUAGUUGGUGAGGUAAAGGCUCACCAAGGCGACGAUCCGUAACUGGUCUGAGAGGAUGAUCAGUCACACUGGAACUGAGACACGGUCCAGACUCCUACGGGAGGCAGCAGUGGGGAAUAUUGGACAAUGGGCGAAAGCCUGAUCCAGCCAUGCCGCGUGUGUGAAGAAGGUCUUCGGAUUGUAAAGCACUUUAAGUUGGGAGGAAGGGCAGUAAGUUAAUACCUUGCUGUUUUGACGUUACCAACAGAAUAAGCACCGGCUAACUUCGUG